UACGGAGGGGACUAGCGUUGUUCGGAAUUACUGGGCGUAAAGCGCACGUAGGCGGAUUUGUAAGUCAGGGGUGAAAUCCCGGGGCUCAACCUCGGAACUGCCUUUGAUACUGCAAAUCUCGAGUCCGGAAGAGGUGAGUGGAAUUCCUAGUGUAGAGGUGAAAUUCGUAGAUAUUAGGAAGAACACCAGUGGCGAAGGCGGCCCCCUGGGCCGCUCCUGACGCUGAGACGCGAAGGCUAGGGUAGCGAACGGG
rnacentral:rRNA from 1 species